GCUGACUUGAUGUCACUUUUUGCCAAUCAGGCCCCUGGGCCCAAAUCCCUAAUCGUUCUGAUGGCCACGUCCAAGGACACAUAUUUUACAGAACAAUGCUCACGUGGUAUGGCAUCAUUCACAGACCCACCCCUAGGAUAUGACAGAUUGUGUAUCAUACGGAACUCACUGGGAAGUUUUUUGGGCACUAUGCCAAGUGGGGAAACUAUAAUUUUUUUGAAAAGGGGGGCAGGGAAAGGGCUGGCUACUAAACACCUAAAUGCCGCUCUUUUUCAAUUUUGUUAAAUGCAACAAGGGGCAUUUCCCUUACCAACUUUUGAUUGGGAGGGGUUCUGGAUACUGGUGAGCUGGAGACGGGGAUGCAGAAGCUGUGGCGGACCCCUGCCUCCAAGUAGUUGGCUGCAGCCCUGUUGGGAUAAGCUUGUAACAAAGGUAACAUCGCUGAGAGGCAGACAGGGGUUGGGGCUAGGGCGGAAAGAACCUCAUUUUCCAGAGGCAGCCUUGGCCUGUUGGGUUCCAGAGGUAGAGGCUCCUGAGUCUCCCUUGGCGUCCCUGGAUCCACUCCCCUAUCCUGUCUUUCGAAAACCACAAAAAGGAGGCUUAGCCCGAAAACACUUAGUCCGUGGGUGAGGACCACCGCAGCGCUCGCACACAUGGUCAAAAUGGCAUCUGUCACUGCUACACAACCCAUUAUUAAACUCCCAGCAUGCUAACGUAGCCACCCUCUGUACUUUGGAGGAGGGUUUGCCUGAUUUCCCCCCAAAAGCCCUUUUUUGGAAGUGUGGUGCCACUACUUCGAACCAAAUAUCACUGUCCUUAAUGUCCCACCGCGCCUUGGGGUCUUCAGCAGCCCUCUCAUGGAAUCCUCAUCAUACGCUAAAGCCACCGAGCCCCCUGCCAUUUUCCUGGCUUUUAAAAUAAUGCCUUGGUAGUUGGCUAGGUGCCAUGCCUUGUCGGGGUAAGUGGCGGCCACCAACCCCAUGUAGGAUGUGUGAGUGAUUAACUGUGCUGGUCCCGGGGGGAAGGUUACCGUUGGCGUAGUCAAAGUCCGGUCCUGGGUCACUGGUGUGGAAACAGUUCACAAGGAGCGAGGCGAGGUCAGAAGCUGGAAGCUGGGCGGGGACAGGAACACUGGAAGGUCAGAAGCUGGAAGCCGGGUGGGGACAGGAACACUGGAAGGUCAGGUCUGGGUCUGGGUAGGUGCAGGUACUCAGCGACGACGUUGCUCCCGCAACCUGGGACUGGGCUGACUGGCCUUUAUCUUCUCUGAGGCCAGGGGCGGUCCCGGCCCCCAGGAGACCCGCCUCUCCUGGCCUUAAGGCGAGCACUCCUCCUGGGAGAAACCAGUUCCCUUCGCCUCUCUGCCC
rnacentral:lncRNA from 1 species